rnacentral:lncRNA from 1 species
ACAUUUGCAGUUUGAACUGAAGGAAGAUUUGUGUGUUUCAGCUAAUAAUCCAGCAAAUCCAAGCAAGUAAGCAGCUGCAAUCCAGCCAGAAGUUUGUUGCUGUCUUGGAGUACAUUUUAGCCAUUGGGAACCAUUUAAAUGAAAAGGCUGGAAAAGAGAAGGCUAAAGGAUUUCGAUUGUUGUCUUUGACCAAAUUGCCUCUGUUGCGGGGUAAGGAAAGGACGUUCACCUUGCUUCACGCCCUUGUGGAACAGAUCUUCUUACAUGAGCCUGAUUUGGCUAAAUUUUCUCAGGAGUUGACAGAAUUUGAAGCUGUUCCUGAUGGUAAGAGAAGGGAGGGGAAAAAAAUCAACAAAUAAAAAAAAUGAAGUCCUUCAACUUUUGUGGAAACUCCCAUCCUCACAAUAUGAUUCUUAUUAGCAUUAUUUUCCCUCUCUUCCUUUCCAGCUUCCAUAAAGGGCCUCAGUGCUGAAGUUGAUGUUUUAAAAAAAGAAUUGGAAAAUGUUAUUCAGUGCAGGCGGCUUAUUAAACCCAAGACAAUCAAAGCAACACCCCAGGAGUCACAGUUCUGCAAGGAACUAAAGGAUUUAAUUCAGAAAUAUGAAGGGGAUCUAUCCCAGCUGUCAAAAAGAUGUGAUGAAAUGAAGAAGCUUUAUAGCAACAUACUGGUAAAAUUUGGGGAGCCGCAAGAUGUAGACUCUCAGGAACUAUUUGGAUGGAUAUCUUCAUUCAUUAGUGAGUUUAGGAAAGCCUGCGCUGAAGUCAUGCCAUAAGGACAAUACAAAUCUUACAAAGAGGUGAGGGAAAGAGAAGCCCAGAAAACAAUGUUUAAGUUAAUUGGUUUGAAAAUUUUUCUACUAAUAAGUAGGACAUAGACCAUAUAUAGUCUGUACUACAGUAUACCUUGAUUUUUAAGGGACAUUCAGUUUAUAAUACGUAAUUUGUAAGUGGUAUUUGACUUGUAGGAUCACAUAUCACUUCUGAACCUCUCCCUUAUUUUUUCUGGUAUAUGUGCUGCUGUACCUUGAGAUGCCUGUAUAUUUAGAAAGGAGACACUUUUGACAUUUUAUAAUUUCUCUUUUUAAUCUUUUCCUUUGAUACCCAGUCUGCUGACUGAGUUUUAACUAUUACUUUCAGUGCAUAAGUUUCUGUAUGAUAAUCUAAUUUUUAAUUUUUUUUGGUGUAGUUUUCUAAAUAAUACUUCUAAAGUUUUAUAAUGAAAUGGAAAGCUGUUACCCACAGAGGACAAUAUUUAGCAAAAAUUCUUAUGUGUCAUUCUGCUAUUAAAGCAGCCUCAGCAUGUAAUGGAGAAAGUGUCUAGCUGGAUGUUGGUUUUGUUUUUUUUUAACCCCAGAAGUAGUACCAUAAAAUAGUGCUUUUUAUGGCUAAUGUCAUGUAUUCGGGUAAAAUACUAUAGAAUUCAAUCAAUACGUGAGAUUUGCAUUGACAGGAAGAGAAAAAUAUCAGAGAAGCAAAAUAAAAACGUGUCGUGAAGCA